UGACAAUAGAGUGUGGUGUCAUGUUUGU
rnacentral:piRNA from 1 species